rnacentral:rRNA from 1 species
AACGAACGCUGGCGGCAGGCUUAACACAUGCAAGUCGAACGCCCCGCAAGGGGAGUGGCAGACGGGUGAGUAACGCGUGGGAAUCUACCGUACCCUACGGAAUAACGCAUGGAAACGUGUGCUAAUACCGUAUACGCCCUACGGGGGAAAGAUUUAUCGGGGUAUGAUGAGCCCGCGUUGGAUUAGCUAGUUGGUGGGGUAAAGGCCUACCAAGGCGACGAUCCAUAGCUGGUCUGAGAGGAUGAUCAGCCACAUUGGGACUGAGACACGGCCCAAACUCCUAUGGGAGGCAGCAGUGGGGAAUAUUGGACAAUGGGCGCAAGCCUGAUCCAGCCAUGCCGCGUGAGUGAUGAAGGCCCUAGGGUUGUAAAGCUCUUUCACCGGUGAAGAUAAUGACGGUAACCGGAGAAGAAGCCCCGGCUAACUUCGUGCCAGCCGCCGCCGUAAUAC